AGUAAGGGAGAAUCUGUAAAGCUCAGGAGGGAUAGCGCCAUAUGAACAAAGGGUCUAUUUACUAGGUGGGCGUUUCUUUGUUCAUCAUGCGCUAUCCAUCCUGAGUUUCAUGGCUUCUUCAUACU